UCACAAUAUCAAGCUUGGCUUGUUGUUGGGCCCUUUGUCACCUGGUGACAGGUCCAAAAGAUAAUAACCGGUGUCAUACAGACUCUAUAUGCAACGAGCUUAUAACAGCAUGCAUCUGGUGGUCGUGUGGCCCGGUUUUUACCCCCUUUCUUUCUCAA
rnacentral:misc_RNA from 1 species